rnacentral:rRNA from 1 species
GCUUGUCUCAAAGAUUAAGCCAUGCAUGUCUAAGUAUAAGCAACCUUAUACAGCGAAACUGCGUACAGCUCAUUAUAUCAGCAAUUAUUUAUUUGAAGAUCACCUAUUACAUGGAUAACCGUGGUAAUUCUAGAGCUAAUACAUGCGAAAAGACGGGCCGCAAGGCUUGUUGUAUUUAUUAGAUAAAAAUCAACACUGUUGGUGAAUCAUGAUAACUUCUCGGAUCGCAUGGCCUCGUGCUGGCGAUACUUCAUUCAAAUAUCUGCCCUAUCAACUGUCGAUGGUAGGAUAGAGGCCUACCAUGGUUGCAACGGGUAACGGGGAAUAAGGGUUCGAUUCCGGAGAGGGAGCCUGAGAAACGGCUACCACAUCCAAGGAAGGCAGCAGG